rnacentral:lncRNA from 1 species
GAAGUUUUGGGAGGAGGAUGCAACAUGCCGUACCAUUUGGCGUCUUGAUAGGAACCCAUGAUUUCUCUGGAAAUUAUCAGGGUGUGUUACUUUGAUGAGAACCUUUAAGUGUAUUUGAACUUUAAGAUAUACGUACUAAUGUAUAUUGUUGCCAGAUACAGAGUUAAUGAAAUUUGAAAGAAUUUGGCGAAGAGUGCAGGCUGUCCAAAAAUCAAUAAUAUUUGUGCAAUGCUGAAUAUUAGCAUGAUACUGUGAAGGUGACAGACUCAAAGUGCAUUUUGCAAGUGUCUUAUUUUGUAGAUGAAGAAAAAGAUAAAUAGAGAAAAGAUUACCCAAGCCAGUUUUGAGGUGACAAGUCUUGAUUUUGGAUAAUAUAACCAGAUAACGUUUUCUGAGAGGACUGUAGAGAAAAAGAAAAAGAAAAAGAAUCAUUGUAAACGCAUGGUCUUCACGCAGGUCAGAAAAUCUUUUAAUCAUCAUUUGGUCAUCGUUGACCUUCCUACUUGUUUCUUUCCUACCAGAUAACAACCAGGGACUAGGCCCUGACACUGUGUGUUCAUUGUUCUUGUGUAUUCUCUUUCUAUCUAUAUCUCUGUGUUAGCUCUUACUUGGAUGCACCUCCCCAUCCCGACACACUCAGAUCCCUCUCACGUUUCCCAAAUUGAUUCCAGAGUGCAUGAAGGAGAAACAAAAUGGUGAAGAAGGAAGGAGGUGUAAUCAUGAAUGCUAUGUCUCCCUUGUUCCCUUCAUUCUCUUUCCAGUGGAUACACACAGGGACACACAGACACGCACACACGCACAUACAGAACCCGGAAACUGUGUCAGAGGGUUCCAGUGCUGGACCCUGAAACGGAUGCUUUUGUUUCUGUCGUGUUUCCUCGUGACUUUACUUUUUGUGUGCUGCAAUUCUGUUGGGAAAAAGAACCUGAUUAUCUUCCAAAAUGUCUGACUCUAUUUUUUGUACCUGUUUUUUACUCUAUGGCAGGGUUAUGGAUUCUUCCCGAAUGUCGUCUGGCAACAGUGACAAGAUGGGAAAUGAGCCCCCGAUGAACUGACAGAAGUAGUCUGUGAUGAAACCACCAACAAAAGGUGACAUAUAUACUCAGAGAGAGAGAGAGAGAGAGAGAGAUUGAGUGAAAUGCAGACGCGGCAUUAUCCAUGGGAAUGCGGAGUAUUCUGGACAAUGAUUCUAAGAUCUUUUCUAAAAUUUCGGAUCCACUGAGCUAAGUCAUGUUUAUCAUAUUCUUAGAUUCACAGAAUCCUUCUUCAAAUAAGUUGGUCACAUCACUGUCCCAUGUAGGAAAUCUCAAAUGACAGGUUGUUGCAUUUCUUGGUGUUUACGUUAACAUAGAACAACUCUCCAGGCUCCGUGAUGAUUUGUUAUGAGGACCAAAUAAGUGUUAAACACUUAGGACGAUGUCUGGCACGUAAUAAAUACCAUUUAAGUGCUUAUUAGAUGGAACA